rnacentral:rRNA from 2 species
CUUGGUCAUUAGAGGAAGUAAAAGUCGUAACAAGGUUUCGUAGGUGAACUGCGGAAGGAUCAUUA